rnacentral:rRNA from 1 species
CCUACGGGAGGCAGCAGUGGGGAAUUUUGGACAAUGGGGGCAACCCUGAUCCAGCCAUUCCGCGUGAGUGAAGAAGGCCUUCGGGUUGUAAAGCUCUUUCGCAAGGGAAGAAAACUUAUGAUCGAAUAAAUCAUGAGGUUGACGGUACCUUGAUAAGAAGCACCGGCUAACUACGUGCCAGCAGCCGCGGUAAUACGUAGGGUGCGAGCGUUAAUCGGAAUUACUGGGCGUAAAGCGUGCGCAGGCGGUUUUGUAAGUCGGAUGUGAAAUCCCCGGGCUCAACCUGGGAACUGCGUUCGAAACUGCAAGGCUAGAGUGUGUCAGAGGGGGGUAGAAUUCCACGUGUAGCAGUGAAAUGCGUAGAGAUGUGGAGGAAUACCAAUGGCGAAGGCAGCCCCCUGGGAUAACACUGACGCUCAUGCACGAAAGCGUGGGGAGCAAACAGGGUUAGAUACCCUGGUAGUCCACGCCCUAAACGAUGUCAACUAGUUGUUGGUAGAGUAAAAUCUAUGAGUAACGUAGCUAACGCGUGAAGUUGACCGCCUGGGGAGUACGGUCGCAAGAUUAAAACCUCAAAUGAAUUGA